CGGUGACUGUUGAGUGCCCCUGCUCGAGCUUGAAUAAAUGACCCUCGUGUGUUUACAUCGGAAUCAGCUCCUUGGUGGUCUUUGGGGACCUCGCGAUCUGGGCACAACAGAACUACUACAGGGCUGCUGCUGCAGAAAUGAAUAA
rnacentral:lncRNA from 1 species